UGAACGCUGACAGAAUGCUUAACACAUGCAAGUCUACUUGAUCCUUCGGGUGAAGGUGGCGGACGGGUGAGUAACGCGUAAAGAACUUGCCUUACAGACUGGGACAACAUUUGGAAACGAAUGCUAAUACCGGAUAUUAUGACUGAGUCGCAUGAUUUGGUUAUGAAAGCUAUAUGUGCUGUGAGAGAGCUUUGCGUCCCAUUAGUUAGUUGGUGAGGUAACGGCUCACCAAGACGAUGAUGGGUAGCCGGCCUGAGAGGGUGAACGGCCACAAGGGGACUGAGACACGGCCCUUACUCCUACGGGAGGCAGCAGUGGGGAAUAUUGGACAAUGGACCAAAAGUCUGAUCCAGCAAUUCUGUGUGCACGAUGAAGUUUUUCGGAAUGUAAAGUGCUUUCAGUUGGGAAGAAGUCAGUGACGGUACCAACAGAAGAAGCGACGGCUAAAUACGUGCCAGCAGCCGCGGUAAUACGUAUGUCGCAAGCGUUAUCCGGAUUUAUUGGGCGUAAAGCGCGUCUAGGCGGUUUAGUAAGUCUGAUGUGAAAAUGCGGGGCUCAACCCCGUAUUGCGUUGGAAACUGCUAAACUAGAGUACUGGAGAGGUAGGCGGAACUACAAGUGUAAGGUGAAAUCGUAAUAUUGUAGGAAUGCCGAUGGGGAAGCCAGCCUACUGGACCAGAUACCUGGACGCUAAAGCGGCGAAAGCGUGGGUAGCAAACCAGGAUUAGAUACCCUGGUAGUCCACGCCGUAACGAUGAUUACUAGGUGUCGGGGG
rnacentral:rRNA from 1 species